GUCUGUUCUCUCUCCCUCCUCAGUACCAAGAACCAAGCACCACACACCACCAGCACCAAGAACCAAGCGCCUGGCCUAUUCCCCAAGUUCCAUGCGUAGCGCCGCUGCGCCGGCGCACGCAGCGGGGUGGUGCCCUCUGCCUGCCUCAUCGCUCUGGCCUCCAUCACCGCCAGCCUCAGCCUGUUGCGCAGCACAGCAUGCGAGCGGACUACGGCGAGGUGCGCACACUGCUUGCUGGGGCCAUAUGCAGCGGCAAGAAUGGGUACACGGCCGGGCUCCCGGAGUACUCGCACGCCAUGGCGGAUGGCUACAUUGGGCGCAAGGAACGCCGCCGAGCAGGAUUUGGAGUUCGGGUCAUGUCCAAUCCAAGCUGCCCUUGACUUUGUCCACGAUUCAAGCACCGCCGGCAGCUUAUAGGGAAAACCAUGCAGAGUGUCGACAUUCACAUGGUCAACAUCAGUGGUCAACCAUGUUUGCGUUAGCUGCACACUGGAAUCAACUACGGCAAACGAUGAUUGCGGCCACCAUCUUUAGGAUCAUUUGUUCACACUGUCUUUUUUGUGUAUAUUUAUUUGUAUAUGGUGGUGAAUACUUGUGACCAAGUGCUGGUCUUGUAUAAGUAAAAGAAUUCUAGGAUGAUUGUCUAAUAUAUAUAUUUAUUCUUUUGAAUGGUUUUCAUUUGUCAUCUACGUGUAUUUGGAUAACCUUUUAUGACAAUGUGGAGAUAUUUUCGUCACA